rnacentral:rRNA from 1 species
UACAGAGGUCUCAAGCGUUGUUCGGAUUCAUUGGGCGUAAAGGGUGCGUAGGUGGCGGGGCAAGUUUGGUGUGAAAUCCCGGGGCUCAACCCCGGAACUGCACUGAAUACUGCCUUGCUAGAGCACUGGAGAGGGAACUGGAAUUUACGGUGUAGCAGUGAAAUGCGUAGAUAUCGUAAGGAAGACCAGUGGCGAAGGCGAGUCCUGGACAGUUGCUGACACUGAGGCACGGAAGGCUAGGGAGCAA